rnacentral:rRNA from 1 species
GACGAACGCUGGCGGCGUGCUUAACACAUGCAAGUCGAGCGGAGCGGCGAACGGGUGAGUAACGCGUGAGUAACUGCCCCCCUCUCUGGGAUAACAGUUGGAAACGGCUGCUAAUACCGGAUAGUGGGGGCUGACUCGCGUCCUAUCCGCUUGUUGGUGGGGUAGUGGCCUCCUAAAGCGACGACGGGUAGCCGGCCUGUGAGGGCGAGCGGCCACAUUGGGCUGAGAUACGGCCCAAACUCCUACGGGCGGCAGCAGUGGGCAAUAUUGCACAAUGGGGGAAACCCUGAUGCAGCAACGCGCGUGCGGGAUGACGGCCUUCGGGUUGUAAAUCUCUCCUUGCAAGGCUGGGGUAGGGGGAGAAGAAGCGCCGGCUAACUACGUGCCAGCCGCCGCUGUAAUUC